rnacentral:rRNA from 1 species
UUUUGUGCCAAGCAGUUGCGGUUAUACAAAAAAUACAAAUAAAUUAUAUUAGAUGUAGUUAAAUUGAGAUAAAUUUAAAUUAAAAUUAAAUUUGUUAGGUGAAAUUUUAAAUUUAUAAUAAUUUAUUUUAAAAAUUAAUUGAAGCUAGAAAAUUUUAAUUAUAAACUAGGAUUAGAUACCCUAUUAUUUAAAAUGUAAGUAUAAAGUCUAGAGUAGUAAUAGUUAUGUUCUUGAAACUUAAAGAAUUUGGCGGUAUUUUAGUCUAUUCAGAGGAACCUGUUCUAUAAUCGAUAGUCCACGUUGGAUCUUACUUAAAUUUGUUUAUCAAUAUGUAUAUCGCCGUUAUCAGAAUAUUUUAUAAGAAUAAUAAUUUUCUAAAUUUUUAAUUAAAUAAUGAUGUCAGGUCAAGGUGCAGUUUAUAUUUAAGUAGAAAUGGGUUACAAUAAAAUAAUUUAAACGGAAAUAAGAUUGAAAUAUUUUAUGGAAGGUGGAUUUGAUAGUAAAAUUAUGUAGAUUAUUAAUUUGAUUAUAGCUCUAAAAUAUGCACACAUCGCCCGUCGCUCUUAUUAUUAAGAUAAGAUAAGUCGUAACAUAGUAGAUGUACUGGAAAGUGUAUCUAGAAUGA